rnacentral:rRNA from 1 species
GACGAACGCUGGCGGCAGGCUUAACACAUGCAAGUCGAACGCAUCCUUCGGGGUGAGUGGCAGACGGGUGAGUAACGCGUGGGAACGUGCCCUUCAGUUCGGGAUAACCCAGGGAAACUUGGGCUAAUACCGGAUACGUGCGAGAGCAGAAAGAUUUAUCGCUGAAGGAUCGGCCCGCGUCUGAUUAGCUAGUUGGUGGGGUAAUGGCCCACCAAGGCGACGAUCAGUAGCUGGUCUGAGAGGAUGAUCAGCCACAUUGGGACUGAGACACGGCCCAAACUCCUACGGGAGGCAGCAGUGGGGAAUAUUGGACAAUGGGCGCAAGCCUGAUCCGGCCAUGCCGCGUGAGUGAUGAAGGCCUUAGGGUUGUAAAGCUCUUUCGUCCGGGACGAUAAUGACGGUACCGGAAGAAGAAGCCCCGGCUAACUUCGUGCCAGCCGCCGCAGUAACAC